rnacentral:lncRNA from 1 species
CUCUAUAACUCUAUAAUUAAAAAAAAUCCAGAAAAAAUCCGAACAAAUCCGGAAAAUCCAAACAAAUCCGGAAAAUCCAACAGAUUUUCAAAAAUCCAGAAAAAAUCCGAACAAAUCCGGAAAAUCCGAACAAAUCCGGAAAAUCCAGCAAUUUUCUCUUCAAAAAUCCGCUAAAAAAUCCGGGAAAAAUCCGCUAAAUCCGCUAAAAAAUCCGCGGAUUUUUAAAAAUCCGAAAAUCCCGUACGCUUUUUUGGAGUGAAAUGCCCCUCGACAAAAACAACUCGCGACAGGUCUGUUGGAACAAGUUGGAACAGACCUGUUGAUUUCAACAGACUUGCUGCAAGUUGUUCUAUCAGACCUGUUAUCUCUUGUUAGUAACAGCAUAGAUUAAGUAAGGACAGAUGUGUAACUUCAGUAAAAAAGUUGUCCCAUGGUCGCCAUCUUCCUAGCAAGUGUCGCUCGCGUGAUUAUUCGUCAUUUGGUAGUACGUCAUUGCCUUCAAAAAUGUUUUCAACACCUUUACUACAACUUUAAUUGCUUUUAACAACUUUAAACAUUCAACAAAUGAUGCUCUUGAUUGUUAAAUCCAUAAAUUUCGAUCCAAGAAAGCCGCAAUAAAAUGCAAAAGUUCAUGUUUUCCAGGACGCCAUCUUCCUAGCAAGUGUCAUGGCGUGAGCAUGACGUGUACAUCUAAGGAAAUUUGAGGACACGAAGUCCUAUUAAGUUACGCAUCUGGUAUAUACUUCUUCUGUGGUAACAGGUUUGGAGCGGGUUGUUUCAACAAGUCGCUACGGCCACAGAAUAGGAAGUUAUACCAGAAGCGUAACUCUAGUCGUUUCCCUUAUUGUUUGACGUCCACGAAAAUUUUAACUCGCUCACGUCAGGCCACGCCAUCCUGGCUAGUACAGCCGGAAGUUUUUAUCAGGAUUUGGUAGGUACAAAGUGCCGGUUGUACUAGCCACGAUGGCGUGAUUGAUGACGAAUCGCUUGUAAAAACGCGGACAAAUAUUUGCUCGAGUUAUGCUUCUGGUAUAACUCCCUAUUCNNNNNNNNNNNNNNNNNNNNCUGUUACCGCCUGACGAAACCAACAGACCUGUCGCGACUUGUUGACAACUUGCCGCAAGCCGGUAAAAUCAACAGCUUGCGACAGGCCUGUGAGAUUUCUGGCUGUGUAGUGCAAGUUGCAUGCACACUUGUCAUUCGUGACCAAUUACGUGCGACAAAAAUCCUAAUGUCAUAUAAAUCUGGAUGGUACAUAAGGAUAGGUGUCACAAAAUGCUGUAAUAAAGCUGGAUGUCACAUAAGGCUGGAUGGUACAUAAGGUUGGAUGGUACAUAAGACUGGAUGUCAUAUAAGGCUGGAUACAUAUGGCUGGAUGUCAUAUAAGGCUGGAUGGUACAUAAGGCUGGAUGGUAUACAUAAGUCUGGAUAUCAGAUAAGGCUGGAUGGUACAUAAAGCUGGAUGGUACAUAAGGCUGGAUGUCAUAUAAGGCUGGAUGUCACAUAAAGCUGGAUGUCACAUAAGGCUGAAUGUCACACAAGACUGCAUGGAUGGUAUAUAUA